UACGGGGGGGGCAAGCGUUGUUCGGAAUUACUGGGCGUAAAGGGCUCGUAGGUGGCCAACUAAGUCAGACGUGAAAUCCCUCGGCUUAACCGGGGAACUGCGUCUGAUACUGGAUGGCUUGAGUUCGGGAGAGGGAUGCGGAAUUCCAGGUGUAGCGGUGAAAUGCGUAGAUAUCUGGAGGAACACCGGUGGCGAAGGCGGCUCUCUGGGACGGUACUGACGCUGAGACGCGAAAGCGUGGGGAGCAAACAGG
rnacentral:rRNA from 1 species